UUUUAUACACUUUUAUAUACACCUUUUUUAAGGUACCCAGCUGAUCUUUUCACAAGAGCAAGGAUCAACUCGGUCUUGGAUUGGCAUCAUUUGAAUUUACGCCGUGGUGCAGCAACUCUUCUUAUGAGUACUGUUCUAGCACCUGCAUUAGGUCUUCCAUUGAACCCACAAGCAGCUGCUGAAGCUGAGAAAAUUUUGACCUCAUCCCUAUCAAAAAUUGAAUCAAUUUGGCUUAAACCGAAUGGAAAGUUCUUAUUGGGAAGCUCUCAACCAUCUAUUGCAGAUCUCAGCCUUGUUUGUGAAAUCAUGCAGUUGGAGUUAUUGGAAGAGAAGGAUGUCAACAGAUUCUUAGGCCCCCACAAGAAAAUUUUGCAAUGGAUUGAGGAUACAAGAAAUGCAACAGAUCCUCAUUUUGAUGAAGUACACAAAAUCUUAUUCAGAGCUAAGGCAAGGUUGCACAAGAAGUCAAGUGGAGAAAACUUUGGGACUGAAUCAAGCAUGAAGGUGAUGUUACUAUCAAAGAUGUGUGAGAGAGAGAGAGAGAGAGAGAGAGAGAGAGAGAGAGAGAGAGAGAGAGAGAGCAUGUUGUAAUAAAUGGCACCAAAUUCAUGUGCACAUGCCUAUUUUAUAAUUGGUGGUUUGAUAUUUGGAGAACAAUGUGGUAGUUUUGACGGUUGGAUAUUUAGGGAUUGUUUAACUUCAAUCUCUUUAAUUUAUAACCUCAAAGUCAUUCAAUUACCUUUCC